GUAGUCCUAGCCCUAAACGGUGCGCGUUUGCUGUGAGAGGAAUCGACCCCUUUCGUGGCGAAGCUAACGCGAUAAACGCGCCGCCUGGGGAGUACGGUCGCAAGAUUAAAACUCAAAGAAAUUGACGGGGGCCUGCACAAGCGGUGGAGUAUGUGGCUUAAUUCGAUGCAACGCGAAGAACCUUACCUGGCCUUGACAUGCAUGUGGUAGAACCAUGAAAGUGGGACGACCCCGCAAGGGGAGCAUGCACAGGUGCUGCAUGGCUGUCGUCAGCUCGUGUCGUGAGAUGUUGGGUUAAGUCCCGCAACGAGCGCAACCCUUGUGUCCUGUUGCCACCCCUUCGAGAGAAGGGAGCACUCUGGACAGACUGCCUCGCUCAAACGGGGA
rnacentral:rRNA from 1 species